GCCUUGUUGGCUAAGUGGUAUAGCGUCUCACUAGUAUAUGGUGACAUGAGAAGAUCGGCGGUUCGAUUCCGCCACGAGGCA
rnacentral:tRNA from 1 species